CAAGGGACGCACUUGGGCAGCCCCGCCUGCCGGCGCCCUCGUCUCCAACCCUCUCCGCCCCGCCUGGCGCACUGCGUGGUUUGCUUAGUUUCCCGGACCUGGCAGAGCGGUGGCUGCGUUGAGGACGCACGGCACCCGUCCCGCGCCCUGUGGUCGGGGAGGCUCCGGGCCCACCCCCAGUGCAGGCCUCCGGGUGGGCGGACGCCGCCAGCGCCGCAGGUGCAGCCCAGACACAGCGCGCCGAUUGAUUGCUCUUUUGCCGUGAGCAAGUGACAGCAAGGACUUGAAACUGACCAAAGAGGGUCUUAACCUUCAUAUUAUAAGCCAAGAC